GGAAACCCCACUUCCAGAAGAUAGAGGCAAAGCCGUUGCUACAUUGAGUAAAGCACUCGAAUACUUUCUAAAGAAAGCUGAAAAGAAUCACGUUCUUGCUGGUGCUUUUGGCCUAGGAGGAACAGGAGGCACAUCUCUGUUAUCAUCAGCUUUCAGAUCUCUUCCAUUUGGGACUCCUAAAGUAAUUGUGUCAACUGUAGCCAGCGGUAGAACUGAACAGUACAUUGGAGCUUCUGAUCUGAUAUUGUUUCCAUCUGUUGUGGACAUUUGUGGAAUUAAUAGCGUGAGUAAGGUUGUAUUAUCAAAUGCUAGAGCUGCUUUCGCUGGAAUGGUAAUCGGUGAGCUUGAGACAGAGAAAUCCAUCGAUUAUUGUAAGAAUAAUGACAAGUUCACGGUUGGUUUAACUAUGUAUGGAGUUACAACUCCAUGUGUAAGUGCUGUCAAAGAAAGAUUGGUAAAAGAAGGUUAUGAGACCUUGGUUUUCCAUGCCACUGGGGUAGGGGGCAGGGCCAUGGAGUCUCUCGUCAGGGAUGGAAUUAUACAGGGUGUUUUGGGCAUCACAACAACAGAGGUUGCAGAUUAUGUGGUUGGAGGUGUCAUGGCUUGUGACAGUUCCAGGUUUGAUGCUAUCAAUGAGAAGAAAAUCCCUUUAGUCCUGAGUGUAGGAGCCUUGGAC
rnacentral:misc_RNA from 1 species